UGUGCUACAGAUAUAAAAUGCGUAAAAGAUGAUGCAACAGUACACUAGAAAAUUUGGAAUUUAUGUCAAUGAAGUUUCAUAGUGUCUUUGAAAAGUCUGUUUUUUUCUUUUUCCCCCCAUUCUAAACUAAAUGGUAUUGUGAAAUGUCACAUUAGGCACUAAAAGCAGCUGCUACACAAUCUUCCUCCCUGGACUCUAAAAAUCAGAAUUCAGUUUACAAAAGUGGUACUAGGCAGCAAAGACAACAAAAUGUUUUAGAGGGCAAUUUACAGAGCACCUAAACUGUGUCAGGCACUGUACUGAGGAGCUUCACAUAAAGUAACUCGUUUGUAUUCUCAUUUUCAGAUUUGGAAAUGGAAUUUCCAAACAUAUCUUAAUUUUCUCAAGGUCAAGAUAUAGAUCCCAAUUGGUCUGCUCUUUGUAUUCUUGCCUUUGUACAUUUCAUUAUGCAUUCAUUCACAUAUUUAUUAACUGUCUACUACAUGCCAAGUACUUAUGCUAGACACAGAUGCUACAAAAAUUCCUAAGAUACAGUUGCUUCCUUAAGGGGCUCUUUAGUAAACACAGAAUCAGACAAGUAAAUAUAUAAUGAUACAAUGUGAUAAGUGCUCCAACAGCAAGGACUCUCAGAACAGGAGGGAUAUCUAAGCCAGUUUUGAAGGGUGGAACCUGGGAUGAGGCAAUGGUCACAGUCAUCUGACAGCACAAUCCUUAGAACUCUAUCCCCACAGAAUGGCAACAGGGAAUCUGUUGGGUGGGGGGAGAGGGGGUACAGGGAGACAGGCAACUGAGAGAUAGGAAGGAAAAACAACCGACUUUAAGGGGUGAGAGGAGGAGGAAGAAGGAUGAACACAGGACAGCUUCCAUGAUUGUGGCUUGGGGUCCUGAAUAGGUGUAAUUCUGCUUUAGACACACUGGUAUGAAAUGCCUGUGAUAGAAUCAUAUGUAAAUGUUUAAAAGUCAGCUGGAUAUACUGGUUCAUAGCUCAGCUUAGGAGAGAUCUACUGUGGAGAUAUCGAAGUCAUCAUGGAUUUCUGUUUGAAGGAAUGGCUAAGAUCAUCCACGGAGAAUGCCAAGUGAGAAGACCACUGAAAGAAACCAGGGGACAAUAACAUUCAAGGCACAGGCAGACGAAAAGAUGCUUCAGAAGAAAACUGAGGAGAAGCUGCUCUAAAGGAAAGAGAAGACAGUAGAGGUAGGCACCACAGCAAUCACUGAGAAGAAUCCCCAAAACAAGUAGCAGUCAAACGCCAGAUCCAUCACAGGACAAGCAAGGUAAUUUAAGGGUAUCCUCUGACUUAGCAGUAAGGAGAUGGCAAGAAUGGUUCCAGUGGGCUAGUUGAAGAAUAAAGAAGUAGAAACAAAGUAUCACAUUUUCUAAAAUAGAAUUGGAAAGGCGUGUAAGGAGACCAGCUAUAAGGGAGUAGAGAAGGCAAAAGAAGAGAGGAGCUGUUUUUGAAGCAGGAUGGAAGGAGACAGAUGAUGCCAAGGAAAGGAAAGAAAAAAGAGACUGGGGGAGGGAGUGGCAGGGAACUGACAGCAUAGACAGCCGCUGCCUCAUGUUUAACAAAGAAUUUUGCUCAGAGCAGAGGGAGAGGAGGAAAGUGAAGACAUGACAGAGAGAUGAAAGCCUGAAAAGUACAAACAUUAAGAAAUGUCUGAAGGACUUUGAGCAGUCCAGGAAACUAAUGAAGAGGCGACCUCGACUUUAUAAAGCUUUAAGCCCACAGGAGGGCAUGGUUUCUCUCCAAAGAUUAUCAGCAUCUCGUCCAAAGUAGUAAUACCUUCCAGUUGGUUCCAAUAGAAGGUCCAAAUCUCUCCAUUACACCACAAACUGAGUAUCACUAUCCCAAUCAUACAUCUGGAUUCUAGCUCUUUAGCAGUCAACUCAGGAGACUUACCAUGGAAGCACAGAAUAUUUUAUAAGUGAGCUUACGCUAGUUUUAAAUAGGCAAGUUCCUACCUUGGAAAACCUGGUUUGAUUAAUAUCAAAGGGAGCUCCAUAAUACACAGAACAAGAAGGGAACCAAUGACAGCACUGUGUGACAUUUUAGCCACUUGUGAUACCACUCUCUGGGUAAGGAAAACUAUAGAAACAAUAACUCAUGAAGCAAAUUUCUAGCCUUUUGAUAUUUUUUUUUUUCCCACAUAGGAUCCACAUUUAACAUGUGGCUUGACCUCGUGGCCCUGAGAUUAAAAGUUGCAUGUUCUACCAACUGAGCCAGCCAGGUGCCCUUUUAAAUAGAACUCUCAAACAAGGCUAAAGACAGUUGUGGCAUUCACAUUCUCCAAUGUCUCCCCCAAGAAUAUCACCCCAAGAACACCUAAUAAAUUUCCCUUUAGUAAAUCAAACUCAAACUUUACAGCUUACUUUAUAUAUUGCAGUUUUUUCCAAAAACACAAGUUGUGUUAUUUACAAGUAAAAUAUGCAUAUAUAAUGCACCUCAUUUAAUGUAGAGGUCGUAUAGAAACCUUGAAUAUCUGGGUCAUAUCAGAGCACCCCCAAAUAAGCAAAGAACACUCACAUACCACAGAAAUAGAAAGACUCAAAUCCAGGCAUUAAGGACUGUUCUCAUUAUAAACCCCUCAAUUUCUCAUACAGAGCCAGCUUGUUCUUACUGUGAACAUAAUUUUACCGAGUUUGGUCAUCUGGUUUUCUUUUUAAUAAACAGAACAUUAGAAAGAGUAAGGCAGAAGGGAUCAGUAUUCUGUUACAGACAGGCACACAGUUGAUCUAAAACUCAAGAGAAAAAAAAUUUAAAACCCAUAAAGAGCAAAACUAAAUACAAGAGCAUUAGCAGGACUGGGCCAUUUUGUCAAAUUACAGAGUCCUAUAAACAUUAUCCCCUGAAGGCAUCUCUGCAUUAAGAUACAGAGUAAUUAUGAACAUACAAAAGGACAGCCCAGAAAAGAUAAAAUUAAGUGCUAAAAAUUUAGCAUAAGAUGUAAAUGGGUAAUAUUUAGAAUAACUGUCAUCAAAGAGACUAGAAUAAAAACAAGUUUUGCUGCUGCAGAGACUGGGAUCACUUCAAUCGAUUGGAUCCCCAUUAUGUGCCAGGUACUGUACAAGGGGUUUUGCCAAUAUGAUUACAUUUACCUUUCAAAACAUUCUUUUUUGAUUGGUCACCACUUUAAAAAGGAAAUUGUAUAUGAAAACUGAGGCAGACAGAUUAAAUAGCGGAGCAUGAUUAGACCCAGGUCUCUGUGAGUUCAAAGCUUUUUAAUAAAAUUUCCAGAUACAGAAAUAUAACUUACAAUUCCAGAUAAAUAAGGCAUUACUAUACCUAAUUAUUCUGCUCUGACCUCCAUUAUACUAUUAAAUUCUUAUAUUAGUUCUUAGCCAUUUGAAAAGCUAACUUUGAUGAUGUCAUUUAUCUUUUAAUUAUUUGGGGGGCCUUUUCAUGGUCUAUAAUCAUAUUUCUCACAAGGAAAUCCAUAAAUACUACUGAGAACCUCAGAGUUGAUAUCUCAUAGCAUUAAUUAAAAAGAAACUUAAAGAUGCCUUAAAAGUUUGAAGCAAUAAGUGCCACUUCCUAAAUGAGUCCUGUGUGUCACACAGUGUGUUAAUAUGCUCUAUAUACAUAUUAUUCAUCUACAUACAUUUGAUACCCACACCUGAUACUGAGGUGUUCACAUAUUUUCAUUGUACAGAAACUAGCCUACAGUUGGUUAGGAAAAAGACAGAUUUUUAAAAGGCCCAUAAGACUUUCAGACCAGUGCUGCUAAUAGUGACUUACUAUAUGGUCUCCCUUAUUGUAAGAUGAAAAUAUCAAGGUUCAAAGAACUUAAGUAGCUCUUUGUCACUUGAAUAAUAAGGAUGGAAAGAACACAAUCAUUCCACAAAUACUCAAAUUUUCUUUAGACAAUACCGCCUUCUCCCAAAAUGAAUUAAAUCCAAAGUUAAAGACACAAAAGCUCCAAAAUGCCAUCAGAGAAAAGGGGUCACAAGUGUUAGAUAGCAUCCUACAAUAAUAACUGCUGAUUUGUACUCAGGGCUUACUAUGUGUCAGGAACUAUGCUCAGCAUUUUGCUUACAUUAUGUUAUUUUAUCCUCAUGACAAAUUUAAAAGUCUAAAAGUCUAAUUAAACUUCAGGCUAAUCUACUCUUGCACAUCCAGAUUUUCACAGAGAAGUAAUCAUGAGCCUGUAUUUUUAAGCAGUUUAAAAAUUAGCAUAGGUUGGCUUCUCCAGAAAUUAAAUUACUUCUAAUUUAGCGUUUACCUUAAAACUAUACAUCUCUAAAACAAAGACGUUAUUGACACAUCCAGCAGGUGCCACAGAAGAGAUGUUAAUGAGAUUUGGUUUUACGAUGUGUUAAGUAUUACCUGAAUCCCUAGACACCAUAAUUUGUUCAUUUUAAAAAUGUUCUACAAUGCUAUUCAGAUUUAGAUCACUACAUCAUGCCUCAUUUAAAUAAGCUAGAAUAUGACAUCACCAAAAAUAGAAAUGCUGAGGGGAUGUUUUCAAAUAGUAUUGGAAGAAUCAACCAUUUAAAAUGCUUAAUGAACAGGGGCCGCUGGAUGAAUCAGUCUGUUAAGCAUUCGACUCUUCACUUCAGCCCAGAUCAUGGUCUCAUGGCUCAUGGGUUUGAUCCUACAAACCCAUGAAUGCCUGCUUGAGAUUCUCGCUCUCGUUCUCCCUCUCUCUCUGCCCGUCCCCCGCUCAUGCUCUCUCACACACGUGCUCACUUUCAAAAUAAACAAACUUAAAAAAAAGUUCAAUGAACAAUUAUGUUUUCCUGUGAUAGUUAAUGAAAUUCUAUUGGCUUUCUGGAAGUUUGUUUUAAAUGAAUUUCAGAUCAUUUACAUAUUUUUUCUCCAAAUAAAAUACAAAAUUUGUGUUGUACAUAACAAAAUUGGCAUUAAAAAUUUUUUAACAUGAA